GAUGAACGCUGGCGGCGUGCUUAACACAUGCAAGUCGAACGGACAGGCGGGGUGCGGCCUGGUCGCGCGUGAGGGGCGGGUGGGUGAUGAACAGGUGGAUAACCUGCCGUGGGGGCUGGGAUGACUUAGGGAAAAUGGAUACAACACCGGACAAGAGGUUGAAAGGGGGGGUUCGAAAGGGAUAGAGCGAUUUGCUGUGACGUAUAGGGGUAUCCGCGCCGCAGUAGCUAGUUGGUAAGGUAAAGGCUUACCAAGGCAACGAUGCGUAGCCGACCUGAGAGGGCGAUCAGCCACACUGGGACUGAGACACGGCCCAGACUCCUACGGGAGGCAGCAGUGGGGAAUUUUCGGCAAUGGGGGCAAGCCUGACCCAGCCACGCCGCGUGCGUGAAGAAGGCCUUCGGGUCGUAAACCGCUUUUGUUCGGGAAGAACACCUGUGUGCGUAACUACGCGCGUCUUGACGGUACCUGAAGAAUAAGCACCGGCUAACUACGUG
rnacentral:rRNA from 1 species